CUCAGCCCAAACUGGUUUGGAGAAAUGCUGUCAGCUUAUAACAUGGAUUUCUCCCAGGAAUGGAAUCUUUUGAGUGAUACAUUUGUUUGGAAUAUUUCUUAGAUAUAACUCACAUUAAGUUCAAUUUCUUUUUUUUUUUUUUUCUCUUUUUAAAGUUAUCCCCCCCCAGGUACCGAGGAGGCUUUCUUCUUUUAACCCUGAGCACUCUCACAAGGAGAGUGACAACAGUCCCAGUGGAAGGCCUGAAGAAGCAAAGCCCUGUGCCAGGGGUCUUCCCACGAGACUGUAGGGAACUUAGCAGGUAAAUCUGCACGAGUGAAGGCCCCCAGGUGUCUGCGUGUCGGCAGGGCUGUACUCCACAUCCAUUUGGCAGUGCUUCGAUUCUUGGAAUGCCACAGGUUUUGGGCAGCUGCUGACCUCCUCAACGCAAUUAAACAAGGCUGGCAGUGGAUGCUGUCCUGGACUGAGAGGACCGUUCCUCAUGUUGUGUGGUUGUGGUCUGAGUGUCUUGGGAGUGGGAAGCUCUGGUUACCCAGAAAGAAGGACCCACGCUGCCGGGCUGAGGGGCAGGAGCAUGCGCACAGGCCUUACCUAUGAAAAGUUUUGUGUUCCAGCUGACUUCCUCCAAGAGAGCUGCCAAUGUGCUUUUUCAUCAGGACUACGUGAAACACCUGAGUUCACUGGGACUGCAGGAAAACUGUCUCAGAGACAAAGAUACACAGCCUCCCUGGAUUGCUGGCUACAUGCCUGAUCUGAGGCAGGACCUAGGAAUCUUUUCCUGAAAUUAACGCGAAUUCAGGAGGUUUGUGUUUUAAGAACUGCACCCAGUCCUGUGAAAGCAGAGAUCGUCAGGGAGUACAAAGGCUGCAGUGCAACCUGUUGGUAAGAAAUCACUGGGCAGCAUUAACUCCCAGAGUCGUGUGUCUGUGGUUAUGGUUCUAGCCUAAAGGGCUGGACGGAAAAGGUUCAAAAUAAAACAUAAAUACAUUCUGAGUACAGGAAAAUAAAGAAACAAAGGAGUAAAAAUCCCCGGAUUCCUUAGGUCAUGAUGAAGGAGAUCAGGAGUCAGGGUAUGACGAGGGCCAGCAGACUUGGCUUCGCUUCCCCUCCUGCCGUGUGAUUCUGAGCAAGACAAUGUUCUUUGUCUGGUAAAGUGGGGAAAAUAACCGCUUCCUACACUGUGAUGACAGAAGACAUCUCAAUAUUGCAGCAUUACCGUGGUUAUUUAAGUGAGAGUUUUGGUUACACAGGGGCGAUGCUGGAGGUCCUCGCUAUGCCCUGGGACCCUUUCAGCCAACAGUGCAGUGCAGCGGUCCUGGGGUGGGACAUGGCAUGCCCAGGGAGCCGGGCUGUUGUGGAGGGUUCUUGGCAACUGCUGCUUGCCCGAAACACCUGCUGGACAUUCCUAUGCACAUGAGAUUGAACUGUGAAUACAGAGUUUGAGCUGCAUGCUUUACUUCCUUAAAGGUCCCCUCUAACUCAAACAAUCCUAUGAUUCUAUUUUGCUGCUCUGUUUCACACGGGAACCUGUCAGAAGUGGAGGCAGUUCUGUGUUUGCCAGCCAGAAUUUAACUGAUCUCCAAUACAGAGCGACAAACACAGAAAGAGAGCCAUUCUCUGACCGGUAGAGUUCCCAAGUGCAAAACAUCUAACUACAAUAAUUUUGAGUAGCAAAUUUUAGCUAAGAAACAUUGGGAGCUAUUUAUUCAGCCUUAUUUCAACCAACUGCUGAACUUUAGUUUACACAAGGGCUGGUGCAGGAGAGCAGUGAGGCACUGCAGCCCAGCCCCGUCCCACCUGGAGCACUGCGGUGUGAGGCCCCAACACCACGUUGUGCAGGGCACAGCAUGCAGCCCACAGCACCUGCCCUGCUGUGCUUUAUCUUGCUUAAUGAACACGGCUCUCUGUGCGUUCCAGGAUCCUUAAUUACUUUUUGCUUGGCAGACGGGAUCCUUGUAUUAUUUUCGUUUUUGUUAAGUAUUACCAGAUUCCUCGAGCAUCACGACUAAGAAGACAAAAGGAACAAAUUCAAAGUCGAUCCUUCUUUUACUAUCCGAAAUUCACUCGCAGAAGGCUGCCCCAUGGAUGCAGGAAAGGGGAAACUCACCUGAAGGCUAUUACAGAUAUGAUUUUACAUUAUUAUUUUCUUUAGCUGCAGAGGUUGUUGGAGUAGCGGUGGAAAAGAAAAGCAAGUGAACAAGCUGCCUGCUGCUUCCUGCCAACAGCUCCUGAUUACUUCAGCUAAUUUCAGGGCCUGGAAACACUGUUGACAACCUGAUUUCUGAAACAUAGGAAGUGUUAUUUGGUCCUGCAAUCUGCACCGUGUCUGUGUCAGGAGUUUCACUGCUGUCACUCGCAGCAACUUUCACUGUUCUAUCGCCAUCUCCCAGAACUAAUUACCUUAAACUGAUGAAAGUAGAUUUUUAAAAGUAAAAUGCUUUCCUAAAUUUGCUUUUCAGGUGCUUUAUGAAGUUGUUUUAGCAUGCUCCGUUGAGCUCUACGCUUACCUGCAUCAGAGAGAGGAACAGAGCGGUAGAAAGACGUUUUGGAGGCUGGCACCAACAGAGGGAAGAAUUAAAUAACGCUGUUGCAAAGGAUGGAAAAGGCUCAGAGGUGAUGCGAUGGCUCCAGGGGUGCUGACCUAUCCUUGCCCCACGUGGGGCUGCUGAGCAUCGUGCAGCUCUUGGUGCUGCUGCUGUGUGCACUCAGGUGCCAGCUCUGCCAAACCUUCUGCUGUCCUGUCCUCAUACCAUGUGUCCUCAUCAAAAAAAAACAGUGCAGCAAAACACAACAAGCAGUGUUAAAAAUGUGUUGCAGAUGUGGUAGUAACUCCCGGUUGCAAUAGGCAGAUGACUGUUUUUUCCUUGUUUCUGUCCUAAUAUUGGGUCCAGCUGAGACCAGGGUUUUACAUGUAACUACAGUGUCCCUGCCCUGCAGGUCAGGCACUGGUGAAACACAUGUCGGAAGAGAUGAAGAAACUUGUUCGGCAGCACGUGGUGCAGUCAGCGCCCUUCCCGUCUCCCAGAACCCCAACUCAUGGAGGCAGAACCAUCCUGUAGUUCUCUACCACAGAGAUCAUUUUGCUCUCAGACCUUCUGCUGACCCUGAACGACUUUUGUUCUUUAAGAGCUCUUUUAUUUCUCCCUCCUUCUCUCUCUCUCUCCUCUUUUUUUUCUGUUGUUGCUCAUAUUUUCCCCUCUCAUUAAUUAUACAGAUGUGCUGGGGGCCAUGUGCUUUGCCACAUCACAAAGGAAACCACAGGACUUCAGAUCAGAGGAUCUGCCAGAUGUCCUCGCCUGGCAGAGCACCGUGUGAGGGUCAUGGCUACAAGAGCAGGCUUUCCUGCAUCCAUGAGGCACAGCAGGGACAGCACCCAGCAAAGGGGCCACAUAGGAAACAAGCUUAGUGCAAGCACAGAGUAAGAGCUGUGGACUACUUGAAUUCACUGCUGGGGUCUUUUUUCCCCCUUUAUUUGAGGCACUAACCCCCAGGAUUCCUUAAGACCACAGCUGCUCAUCUGUGCUUUGGUUGAACAUCACCUUAUUUCCUAAUGAGCCCUUUACCCCUUGGUGCAGUUUGCAAUUUCAAGUCCAGAACUCAGACCUUCAGGACUGCUCCUGCUUGGGAAAAUGUGCUGUUUGUGUGUGGUUCACUUUGUUCUUAUGUAGUCCAUUCUUUGGAGUGUCAGUAAGAGUUAUUAAAGGCAAUGGCUUUGAAGUGAUCGUUUUCUUCAGGUACCCACUCAGGACCAGGCUGUACGUUGUCUCCUUUGGCAGUGUCUCCAGCAGUCUGCUAGGGAGGCUUUUUCUUUUGAACUUGUAGAAAUGGCAGAGAAAAAUGGUUAGUUUCAUGUUUGGGACUAUGCUUAUUUAUCUUUUCUGCCUUCAGAAGGUUGACUUAAGAUUUAUUUUUUGCUAAGGGAAAUGGGUCCCAGCAAGGCCUCUGCAAGAAUGGCCUGAGAGUACAGGUCCCGCAUACGGAGGGGCAGGGAGAGGGAAGAAAGCCCCUGUGCUAUUUCUCUCUCUCAAAAGAAACACAAAGAGGAAAGCCAGCCACUACAUAUCCAGCUGUUAUCUCUGAUCUUGCUGCUAUUCUUUAACUAUUUUCUUUCACGUUAUUGAGAUUUGUGAUCAGCAGACACAUGGUUAACACAGGAGUAUAAAGUUUCCUUUCUGUCACUGGUCUCUGGGUCCAGAUUUCCACUCUGGUAAAAGCAGAAAUCGACAUCAAAAUAACACUUGGGGUUGUGCCCCUGUGCUUCUGGCUCUGGACCAAGCUUAUCCCAGGCUUAGCUGGAUAAUGCUGUAUUCAAACAUCACCAACAGACACCCAGUGUGUAGGAGGUCUUUGACACAGGACUGAAGGAUCCAUAGCAAUUCAGGCAUCCUUGGAAACUGUGCUCUCCUUCCCCUUAAGGCUGAUGACUUUGUCCUUAGUUAUAUUUGUCCGAGGUUUCCAUUAAACAGAUUAUAAUUCCAAAUUCUUAACUUUUAAGGUAAACGGGAAUGGCUCAUGGCAAAUGGAUUUGCAAACCCAACUAAUGCAUGUAAAUACAGGAUACCAAUUUCAACUAUUUGAUACAUUCACUCUGCCCAAAACAAGUUAAAACGAACGUGAAAUUUCAAUAGUCAAAAAAGCAAGGUGCAAAAUACGUGGCUAUUAUUGUUUUAUAACUGUCUACAAGCGUUCCACAAUUUUUGAGUGAGUGGAAAAUGGGUAUCUGGGUUAGUUUCUUGCUGCUCUUGGAUAUUCCAUUAGUGUCUUUUGCUGCUGAACACAGGAUAAAUAAAGAUCAAUCCCCUAUCGUCCCUCACAGUCUUGUAAUCUGUGAUCUACAGAACUCUAAGGCAAAGGGAGGUAAGAAGGAGAAUCCUCUGCAAGAGGCAAAUAGUGCAAAUGAUUUCCUUUUCUUGCUGAAAAUGGUACCGUGGGAAUUCUAUGGCUCAUGUUUAAUGGUGCUGAUGAUCUCCAUGUAACUUCCCUUGGGCCUUUAUAUGAACUAAGCAGGAGGCCUUUUCUCUCCCGUUCAGAACCUGCAACUUUGUGUAGCUUUAAGGAGUAAAAACCUCUUCAUUUUCAUGUGUCAGCCUUAAAGAAUGCUGCAGUCUCAUUGGGGAGCUUUCCCCUCUCUUAUACCUCAAAAGCACACCUUGGAAAUUAAUGAUUUGUCAGCAAAUCAUUAAAACUUCCAAACUAUCACAAGUCGGGGAG
ensembl:lncRNA